AUAUGUCAAUGGGAACCCAAUCACAGUAAAUAGAGUAGUGCCCGGAACCAUGCCACGGUUGACCAUCUACUGGAUACCAGAAUGCAACAGACAUCUUACUGGAUCCACCGAUGUUAAAUUGCACGUCCUGAAAGUGUAUUUCUUAUCCUGACAGAGUGUGUUGGUUAGAGAGCAACAAAAUAGGAUAGUCGCUCUCUCCCUCCCUCUCAUCACUCCACCACCAUCAUUGUCACCAUUGCAACCAUCAUUGUCAUCAUCGUCAAUGCCACCACCAACGUCACCAUCUUUAUCACCAUCAUCGCCAUCUCCACUAUGACAACUACCACACCACCACCACUGAUGCUGUCACUCCUACCAUUGUCACCGCUAUCGUCGCCACCAUCAUCAUUGUUACCAUCAUUGUUGUCGCUGCCCUCACCGCUUCACCACUGUUUCUACCAUUGCUACCAUCACUCUCAUUAUCGCCACCAUCAUUGUCAUCAUUAUUGUCAUUGUCACUAUCGUCGCCACCACCGCCACUGCCAUCAUUGUCACCAUCGUUGCUGUCGUUGCCCUCACCGCUUCAUCACUGUUUCUGCCAUUGCUAUCAUCACUCCCAUCAUCGCCACCAAUCAUUGUCGUCACUAUAUUCAUUGUCACCAUUAUCGUCACCAUCAAUACUAUCAUCGUCACCACUACUAUCACGACUGUCUGUCGUUGUCACCACAGCCACCACCUAUCGUUAUCUAGUAUGUAUCAUGAUGUGCAUUAACCAUUAAAUAGUAUUAAAGCUUAUCCUA